AGUAUGUUGGUCCAACAGCCGAGUGCACGAAUGGGAGUACACAACGGAUUAUAUGUUCCAUAAGUUAGUUUUAACUAACUCAAGUGAGUUAUGAUCAGCUGUUUCUCACGCGUCUUCUAUAUGGAUCUAUAGCUGAGUUAGUUAUCUUUUAGCUUGCAGAUAUUAGAGUUUGUUAUCUCAUUCAUUCAUUGUAAUUCAUCUCUUUGUGCAGUUGAGAGGGAAAAGAUACAACAAAAGAAAAGAUAGAGUUGAGAGAUCGUAGUAGCUGGUGUGUUUCAGCUUGAUAGCUCUGAUUACUUUCUUUUUCAAGAGUUGUAUUGUACUCAAUCUCCAUCAUUGUUUAGUAAAGAGUUUCGAUUGUUCUUUUCGUGGAUGUAGGUCUAUAAGGCUGAAACACGUAAAUCAUAUGUCAACCUUUACAAUUCUGCAUUCUUAGUUCUUGAUAAUUGUUUCUGUAAAUGUUUUGUUGCUGGAUUUGUUGAGUACGAUGUUCUUCCAAUUGUGGAGAUCACAUUGCUUACCAAGUCAUAACAAUUGGCGCCGUCUGUGAGAACCGCGAAGCAAAGGAUCAGUUUACAACACAAGAAGUCAGAUUUUGAGGAUUUUGAUGAGUGCAUCUGCAGAUUUGGAUCUAGCUUUAUCUUCAUCCUCUAAUCGCACUUCUAUGUCUUCUAGAUCAUUUACUGCCUUGUUGAAUUCAUCCAACUGAUCUAGAAUGUCUGUUUCAUCUGAGAUUUUGUAGGAAUACAACCUCCUCUUCAUGUAGAUUCUGUUGGCUAGGGAUUUAGUCAUGUAUAGUGACUCCAGCUUCUGCCAUAUCCCAGUUGAACUCUCUUCCCUAGCCACUUCGCGCAGCACCUAGCUUGUAUCCAAGACAAAGGAUUAUAGCACUGUGCGUAUUUUGCAUCAUCUCAAGAUGCUUCUCACUUUCCCUUUCUUAUUUUGUUGUCUUCUUGGCAAUAAGAGCACCCAACAAUCCUUGUUGUGUAAGGAUUGCUCUCAUAUUCAAUCUCCAGACGGGAAAGUCAUUUUCCUUGUGAAUUUUUCAGUAUCAAACUUUGCAGCAGCCAUGAUUGAAGAACUUGCAUAAUUCCAUGUCCAAGAGUACUCUUCAAGUAUCUAAGUACCCUCUCUGCUGCUUACAUAUGGCCAACACAUGACUUGGCUAAGAAUUGUUUGAGGUUAUGAACCGCAAAAGUGAUGUCAGGUCUUGAAACGCACAAGUAAAGAAGCCUUUCAAUCAAUCUUCUAUACUUAGAAGCAUCAGCAAGAAAAUCUCCUUCCUUUUGCUGGAGAGUUUUACCAGAUUCCAUAAGUGUAGAUGCAGGUUUACGACCAGUAAGACCAGCUAGGGCAUCAUGAAUAAGAUCCAUUGCAUGUUUGCGUUGACAAAUUAAUAUGCCAGUAGGAUUUCUUGCAAUCUCAACUCCAAGGACAUACUUGGGAAUACCCAAAUCUUUGUAUUUGAAAUGUUGGCCUAAGAAAUCCCUAAAUUGAUCCACCAAUGUUGUAUCAUUAUUGGCUAGCAUAAUGUCAUAAACACAUACCACUAAACCAAUAAAACUCUCACCAGAUUUCAUAAAGAAGAAGGAAUGAUCAUAUGCAGAUUGCUGCAGUUCAAAUUUAGCAAGAACUUAAGAGAAUUUUAGAUACCAUUGUCUAGAAGCCUGUUUAAGCCCAUAUAAAGACUUAGUUAGUUUGCACACAGUUCUGGGUGGAUAUUUCUCUCUCUGAUUGAGUAAGCCAUCUGGUAACUCCAUGUAUAUAUCUUCAGUAAGGUCACCAUACAGAAAAACAUUAUUGAUAUCCAAGUGACAAAGAGACCAACCUUUGAUAGAAGAGAGAGCAACCAUCAACUUGACUGUAACCAAUUUAGCAAUAGGUGAAAACGUAUCAAUGAAGUCAACACUUGCUUGCUGAGUCUAUCCCUUAGCUACCAAACGAGCCUCAUAUCGUUCCACAACACCAUCGGCUAAUAAUUUAAUUCUAAACAACCAUUUACAACGAAUAACAACUUUACUAGGAGGAAGCUUGGUAAUAGUCCAUGUGUGGUUUCUAAUGAGAGCAUCCGAGUCAGCCUGAAUUGCUUUGACCCAAACAGGAUAAAGAACAACUUGUGCAUAUGUGGAAGGCUCAGGAAUAGCAGUAACACAACAAAUAAAGGCAAGAAAAACAAGAGAUAAUUUGGCAUAGAUAUUGGUUUAAAGGAUGAAGAGACGAGGUAGAAACAACGAAGUUACAUACAAAAUCAGUAAGAUGUGAAAGGGUUUUGAUUACCCUCCCUGAUUUUGUAGUAAUAAGAGGUGGUGAUGGUGGAGACGGUGGAGAUGAUGGUGGUGAUAAAGGUUCAAUUUGUGAGAAUGUAGAGGAUAUAGGUGGU